GAAGUGCAUUUCCUGAAAGUGGGAUUGAAGCACGAACGUCUCAGAUCCGAUAAGCCAGAGAGGCGUGGGCCUGUCAACAGAGGACCAGACCACAUUGUCGCCAGGGUCCCUUCCUCCUCAAGAGGUCUGUGAUUCAGCGUGCUUGGAAACCUGGCAAGAAGAAACAGGUGUUUGGGAUCAGAGAGAAACUGGAGUGGUGCUUUCUCUAUUAGCUAGAAGAGGGAAGACUGAGAUUGGAGUCUGACUCUCAAGCCCAAAGAAGAAGGAAAAAUCUCUAGAAAAACACGCAAGAAAUAUAACUUUCUUUGCUUCCAGGAGGGAACUUCCUGUACCUUCUUCCUGUUGAAUGAGGUUCUAAAGGCCUUGACGUCUCAGGAGCCAUAAAAGUAACAAUUCAUGUCUUGGGCUCCAUCUAGUUCCAUCCCUGCUACCCCCACGACCCACCCGUAUGAGUGAGCAAACAACCCAUUGUCAGAAAGGAAUGGAUUUUAUCAUUUAGGAUUCAACCCAGAUCACAGGUUUUCCUAAAAGGAGGCUGUAUCCUGUUUAUUAUGAGGGGGCAAACUAGAACGGAGUAACUUAAGCCAUUAAUACAAGGCACGGAUGUAUUAAAUAACACAAGGGCUACGGGACCAAGAGUGAGUUCUCCCGCCAACAUCUCCACAUUGAGGAAAUGAAGAGAGAAGAAGAACGCAAAAGCCCAGCCCCGGACAUCAAAGCCUAGCAAAUAGUGGCUUCUUAAUCCAAAUUAAGAAGAAGCUAUAAGCUAGGAGUCAGGAACAGCAGGAUAGUUGCUGAGAAGGCAAAGCAGCUACCGAUCCACAGCCACGUGUCUGGUUUCCUGAGGAGCUGAGGGGUCAGAGCCCCUGGCUGGGGUACAUGGAAAGCUCUCCAUCAUCUGGCUCUGUUUGAUGCCUUUAUGAAGAUCUGAAAGCAUCAGCCUGAAGCAGCAAUGGGAAUCGAGAAAGGCAGCACGGGCGAGACCUGGUGGAUUCCCUGGGGCUCUCCAGGGCCUACCCAGAAGUCUCAUCAGGGUCUCUCUCUUCUCCAGACUCCCAGAGUAUGGUCAUCGCAAUCACGAAAGCAGAGGAAACUGGAGCUCGGAAAUAUUCAGUAACUGACCUAAGAGCACACAGCUAGAGACAGCCAAUCUGGGGUCCAAAUCCAGUUCCAGCUGAUUCUAGACCUUCAGCUCUCUCAACUCCACAGAGCUACCUCCUGG